CAGAAUUUUCAUGUCUUGUUAAAGGAAUAAAGAUUCAUCAAGGAAUUUUAGUGUGUCUUCCACAUCUAGUUAUAUGUAAGCAGGGACAUCAGGACUUGGGACUGUUCCAUCUGGACAUUAAAUUACAUUUUCAGACUAACAGUGUAUAGUUAUUUUCUUACUUUAGUAUAAUUUGUGAGUGUGUGCUUCUUGUGUAUGUGUUGCGGGGUAGGUUUAACUAUAAAAAGUGAAGCAGGACGAACUGGUGGAAGGCAUUUUAAGGAAAUUUUAAAAUAUAAUACUUGAAUCUAUCUUCCUAUUCCUAGUUUGAACUAUUAAUUCUAAGAAAGUGAUUUAUUCAUAUGUACUGAUUAAUAUCUCAUACACCAUGAGAUGAUUGGUAAGGGGCCAGGAAGGGCACAAUUAGAGAUUCAUUCAUUCAUUCACCUUAAAUUUCACUCAUCCAUGGUGGGUGUAGCUCCGUGGUAGAGCACUUGCUUAUCAUGCUAGAAUAAGAACCAUAAAUAGAAAGAAAUCCUUAAAGGAAUUCCACAGGUAGUCUAAAGUUCAUCUGUGUCAUCGCUGUUAUUACCGCACAAAGAACAAAAGCCGACUUGACUGGAACUACAGGUCCCACAAUCCCAUAGGACCUCUCAGUGGGGGCGGGGGCGGGAGGGAAAAAAAAAUCACUGGACCCGGAUGUAAGCAAAACUACAUCUCCCACAGUGCUUCACGCGAACAUCUCCACUAUAUAUAUAGUCCAUCCGGGUACUUUGAGAUGCUGUUUGGCGACUCGUCGCCAUUCCGGGAGCAGCUCGGCCUCGGCCUAGAGUUUGAGAAGCUAAGGAAGGAAACAAGGAAAAAUGUCGCCAUGAAG
rnacentral:lncRNA from 1 species